rnacentral:lncRNA from 1 species
CAGAAUGCACCGCGUGGAAAGGCAUGCUGACGGAGGAGGCCACGUUGGCAAUCUACAUGCCCACGAUCGGACGGUUCAAAAUUAUUUCCGCGUGCGUGGACGGCCCGGAUACAUUUUUUCCUCAGGCGCGAUCGUACGAUUUAGAUCAAAUCACGAUCAACGGUCCAAAUUCACUUCUUAUUUAAAUGCGAUCAGACAGUUGAAAUCAAACGCGAUGGACGGUCCAGAUUAAAGGAAGAUAGAUAUAAAUACUUCAUUUCAUACCGAACCCUAACCUUAGCCGCCAGCCCUCCACCAGAGAAGAAGAAUCAGUCGCUGGGAGAGAGAGUCAACUGCCGCCCGUUGCCAUGCUGGAGCCACCUCCGACCGUUAAAAGAGGCAAAACAUUUCUUAUUCGCUCGAAAUUCGAUUUUGAACACACCAUGGCUAAAUCGGAAUAAAA